GACGAACGCUGGCGGCGUGCCUAAUACAUGCAAGUAGAACGCACAGUUUAUACUGUAGCUUGCUACACCAUAGACUGUGAGUUGCGAACGGGUGAGUAACGCGUAGGUAACCUGCCUGGUAGCGGGGGAUAACUAUUGGAAACGAUAGCUAAGACCGCAUAAUAUUUAUUAUUGCUUGAUAAUUGAUUGAAAGAUGCUAUUGCAUCACUACCAGAUGGACUUUCGUUGUAUUAGCUAGUAGGUGAGGUAACGGCGCACCUAGGCGACGAUACAUAGCCGACAUGGGAUGACGGUCGGCCGCACUGGGAGUGUGACACGGCCCAGACUGCUGCGGGAGGCAGCAAUAGGGAAUCGUCGGCAAUGGGCGGGAGUCAGACCGCGCAACGCCGCGGGCGGGAAGAGGGUUUCCGGGUCGUAGAGGACUGUUGUAAGGGAAGAACGGGUGUGAGAGUGGAAAGUUCACACUGUGACGGUAACUUGCCAGAAAGGGACGGCUAACUACGUG
rnacentral:rRNA from 1 species